rnacentral:rRNA from 1 species
UACAGAGGUCUCAAGCGUUGUUCGGAUUCAUUGGGCGUAAAGGGUGUGUAGGUGGCGCGCUAAGUCGGGUGUGAAAUUUCGGAGCUUAACUCCGAAACUGCAUUCGAUACUGCCGUGCUUGAGGACUGGAGAGGAGACUGGAAUUUACGGUGUAGCGGUGAAAUGCGUAGAUAUCGUAAGGAAGACCAGUGGCGAAGGCGGGUCUCUGAACAGUUCCUGACGCUGAGGCACGAAGGUCAGGGGAGCAAACGGG